rnacentral:rRNA from 1 species
AUUGAACGCUGGCGGCAUGCUUUACACAUGCAAGUCGAACGGUAACAGGCCUUCGGGUGCUGACGAGUGGCGCACGGGUGCGUAAUGCAUCGGAACGUGCCCAGAGGUGGGGGAUAACGCAGCGAAAGCUGUGCUAAUACCGCAUGUGAUCUGAGGAUGAAAGCGGGGGACCAGGCAGCAAUGUUUGGCCUCGCGCCUUUGGAGCGGCCGAUGUCAGAUUAGGUAGUUGGUGGGGUAAAGGCCUACCAAGCCGACGAUCUGUAGCUGGUCUGAGAGGACGACCAGCCACACUGGGACUGAGACACGGCCCAGACUCCUACGGGAGGCAGCAGUGGGGAAUUUUGGGCAAUGGGCGCAAGCCUGAUCCAGCAAUGCCGCGUGCGGGAAGAAGGCCUUCGGGUUGUAAACCGCUUUUGUACGGAACGAAAAGGCUCUGGCUAAUACCUGGGGCUGAUGACGGUACCGUAAGAAUAAGCACCGGCUAACUACGUG